UUGCUUCAUACAUGGUAUUGCUCAUUUGUAUGUUAUUUGUCACCGGCAGUUCUCAAGGGGAACGUGACAAAACUGCAGGAAGACAAAACAGCACUGGAAAACGCUCUAGCAGCAGAGAGCACAAUGGUGGGAAAGCUGACACAAAACAUCUCAGUUCUCAAGGGGAACGUGGCAAAACUGCAGGAAGACAAAACAGAACUGCAAAAGGAGAUGGCUGAAAGAACACGAAGAUUCAAUGAUGAAAUAAAAGGUCUGAAGGGGAUGGUGGCAGAACUGAAGAAAGAGAAAUCAGGCACUUUGAGAAGUUAAUCCUAAACAGGGACGGAGGAGUAGGAGGAGGAGUGUGAAGCUGAUGAUGGACACACAGUGGGUGAAGUCAGAGAGCACAAAUCUCCAGAUGUAGAUGAGUCGGUCAACAGCAAAAUUUGAGUUUGAUUUCAGUACUCAAAACCUAUUGUCGCGUCUUGCUACAGUGUUACUCCGUGUUCACAUACUGUAGUAUUUUUUACGGUCACUAAGGCUGCAUUCACACUGCAAGUAUUAAUGCUCAAUUCGGUGAAAGUAGACUCUGAUUGCCUUCUGGCUUAAAGGAAUACUUUUUCAUAUUAAACUACGUUAUUCCCUUAACUAAGACGAGUUGAUACCUGACAUGUUUCAAUGCGUGCACUAACUAUAUUGUGUGGCGGAAUAACAAUUGGGAGCACUUUGACUCGGUACAGUAAUAUCUUCACUCUUGCACUUUGAAUUGAAUUUGAAUUGCAUUGAGCUCAAUGAGAAUGAAACCAGCUAAUUAGCUAACUGCUAAUAACUGACAUAAAAGCAUGUCAAUCUCUUAGUAUGGUGAAGGGUAUAGUGUUGAUGUGGGGUUAUUUUAAUUCCAAAGGCCAAGGGGACUUUAUCAGGGUGCAUAGUGUCCUGGAUCCAUGAAAUAACUGGCCUUUAAAAAUAAAAAUAAAAAUCCUCUGUGGGAAUUUAACAUGGGCGUUCCAAUACUUAUGACCUUUGUAUUUCAAGGAAAACAUUUAUUCAUUUACAAUACAUUAUUCAUUCACAAAGAAAAUUGAUUGAAUAUUUCCUGUAUGUUUUGUUGGUGUGUGUACAGUAACCUCCAAAAAAGAAAAUUGAUUGAAUAUUUCCUCAUUUUUUUUCAUUUAAGGCAUUAAGAUCAAUUUCCAAAAGAUGAUUUUAUAUUUAACUUUAAGCUGUUCCAAUACUUUUGGAGGGUACUGCACACACGCCAACAAAACAUACAGUUGGAACACAUGCUUAAAGUUAAAUAUAAAAUCAUCUUUUGGAAAUUGCCUUAAUGCCUUAAAUGAAAAAAAAAUGAGGACAUAUUCAAUCAAUUUUCUUUUUUGGAGGUUACUGUACACACACCAACAAAACAUACAGUUUUCACAUACAUAAUUGUUCACAUUGUAUUUGUUGGUUUAGAGUUGUCUGAUUGUGUAAUGAUUCUUAUAGCUUUCAUCUCCAAAAUAAAGUCUACGUGUUCCCACUGUUAUAUACUGUGCACUGUUAUACAGUAGAUACUGUAUAUAACAAUAAAUAUUACUUUUAUUUUUU